GGUGUUUAUGACGGCGAGGAUCCACCCGUUCCCAUUCCGAACACGGUAGUUAAGCUCACCGGUGCCGAAGAUACUUGGAUGGCAACGUCCCGGGAAAAUAGGUCAAUGCC
rnacentral:rRNA from 1 species